GUACGCGAGCUGGGUUUAGAACGUCGUGAGACAGUUCGGUCCCUAUCUGCCGUGCGCGUUGGAAAUUUGAGAAGAGUCGCUCCUAGUACGAGAGGACCGGAGUGAACGAACCUCUGGUGUUCGGGUUGUCACGCCAGUGGCAUUGCCCGGUAGCUAUGUUCGGAAAGGAUAAUCGCUGAAAGCAUCUAAGCGAGAAGCCUCCUUCAAGACUAGAUUUCCCUGGACCUUCGGGUCCUUAAAGAGCCGUUCAAGACUAGGACGUUGAUAGGCGGGGUGUGUAAGCGCUGCGAGGCGUUGAGCUAACCCGUACUAAUUGCUCGAUAGGCUUGACCAUAUUUCAUCAAA
rnacentral:rRNA from 1 species